AGAACGAACGCUGGCGGCAUGCCUAAUACAUGCAAGCCGAACGAAGGCUUCGGCCUUAGUGGCGCACGGGUGCGUAACGCGUGGGAAUCUGCCCCUUGGUUCGGAAUAACAGUUGGAAACGACUGCUAAUACCGGAUGAUGACGAAAGUCCAAAGAUUUAUCGCCAAGGGAUGAGCCCGCGUAGGAUUAGCUAGUUGGUGAGGUAAAGGCUCACCGAAGGCGACGAUCCUUAGCGUGGUCUGAGAGAUGAUCAGCCACACGUCGGGACUAGAGACGACCGGCCAGACCUCCGUAGGGACGCAGACGAGGUAAGGGAAUA
rnacentral:rRNA from 1 species